UACGAACUGUGCGAACGUUAUUCGGAAUCACUGGGCUUACAGGGUGCGUAGGCGGCUUAGCAAGUCAGGUGUGAAAGCCCCCGGCUCAACCGGGGAACUGCGCUUGAAACUGCUGAGCUCGAGUCAGCUAGAGGUACACGGAACUUCCAGUGGAGCGGUGAAAUGUGUUGAGAUCGGAAGGAACGCCCGUGGCGAAAGCGAGCUCCUGGAUGUCUUCUGACGCUGAGACGCGAAAGCUAGGGUAGCGAACGGG
rnacentral:rRNA from 1 species